UACGUAGGCAGCGAGCGUUGUUCGGAGUUUACUGGGGCGUAAAGGGUGUGUAGGCGGUUUUUCUAAGUUUUUGGUGUGAAAUCUCCCGGCUCAACCGGGGAGGGGUGCGCCGAAAACUGGGGAGACUAGAGUGCGGGGAUGGGAGAGUAGAAUUCCUGGUGUAGCGGUGAAAUGCGUAGAUAUCAGGAGGAAUACCGGUGGUGUAGACGGCUCUCUGGACCGCCACUGACGCUGAGACACGAAAGCUAGGGGGAGCAAACAGG
rnacentral:rRNA from 1 species